GCAAGUCGAACGAAGCUUUAGGGCUUAGUGGCGGACGGGUGAGUAACGCGUGAGAAUCUGCCUCGAGGAUGGGGACAACAGUUGGAAACGACUGCUAAUACCCAAUAUGCCGUAAGGUGAAAUUAUUUAGCCUUGAGAGGAGCUCGCGUCCGAUUAGUUAGUUGGUGGGGUAAAAGCCUACCAAGGCAGCGAUCGGUAGCUGUGCUGAGAGGUAGAAC
rnacentral:rRNA from 1 species